AGCGAUGAACCGCCGCCGCGUUAUUAUGGCCGCGCCAUAGUAAUGAGGAAAGUCCGGGCUCCGCAGGGCAUGAUGCCGGCUAACGGCCGGGGAUUUUGCCGCUUGGCUUCUUGCUAAAGCGGCGGAUUACAGAUAGCGCAGCAGAAAAUAUACCGCUGCUUGUUUUAUAACGGGCAGUACGGGUGAAAUGGCGGGGUAAAAGCCCACCGCGGAAUUGGCGACAAUUCCGGCAUGGCAAACCUCAUCAGGAGCAAAGCUAAACAGCGGUUGAGCGCCCACUCUAUAACCGCGGGUAAGCUGCAUGGAAACUUGCUGGCAACAGCCUGUUCAAGAUAGAUGGCGGCAGCCUUUCCGCCGGAAAGUUCUUUUCAAUGAAAAGUCCUUUCCGGCGGAAAGGACACAGAAUCCGGCUUACGGUUCAUCGCUUUUU
rnacentral:RNase_P_RNA from 1 species